rnacentral:lncRNA from 1 species
AUAACUUGAUUGGAGAAGGUGGUAAUAGUUAUGUUUACAGAGGAGACCUACCAGAUGGAAGGGAGCUAGCUGUCAAAUUACUAAAGCCUUGCUCUAGAUAACUUGAUUGGAGAAGGUGGUAAUAGUUAUGUUUACAGAGGAGACCUACCAGAUGGAAGGGAGCUAGCUGUCAAACUAUUAAAGCCUUGUCUUGACGUGAUGAAGGAGUUCAAACAGGAAAUCGAAGUGAUUACAAGUGUGAAUCACAAGAACAUAGUGUCUCUCUUUGGUUUCUGCUUUGAGAAUAAUAAUUUGAUGCUGGUGU